UACGUAGGGUGCAAGCGUUGUCCGGAAUUAUUGGGCGUAAAGAGCUCGUAGGCGGUCUGUCGCGUCUGCUGUGAAAAUCCGGGGCUCAACCCCGGACUUGCAGUGGGUACGGGCAGACUAGAGUGUGGUAGGGGAGACUGGAAUUCCUGGUGUAGCGGUGAAAUGCGCAGAUAUCAGGAGGAACACCGAUGGCGAAGGCAGGUCUCUGGGCCACUACUGACGCUGAGGAGCGAAAGCGUGGGGAGCGAACAGG
rnacentral:rRNA from 1 species